rnacentral:rRNA from 1 species
GAUGAACGCUGGCGGCGUGCCUAAUACAUGCAAGUCGAGCGAACGGACGAGAAGCUUGCUUCUCUGAUGUUAGCGGCGGACGGGUGAGUAACACGUGGAUAACCUACCUAUAAGACUGGGAUAACUUCGGGAAACCGGAGCUAAUACCGGAUAAUAUUUUGAACCGCAUGGUUCAAAAGUGAAAGACGGUCUUGCUGUCACUUAUAGAUGGAUCCGCGCUGCAUUAGCUAGUUGGUAAGGUAACGGCUUACCAAGGCAACGAUGCAUAGCCGACCUGAGAGGGUGAUCGGCCACACUGGAACUGAGACACGGUCCAGACUCCUACGGGAGGCAGCAGUAGGGAAUCUUCGGCAAUGGGCGAAAGCCUGACGGAGCAACGCCGCGUGAGUGAUGAAGGUCUUCGGAUCGUAAAACUCUGUUAUUAGGGAAGAACAUAUGUGUAAGUAACUGUGGACAUCUUGACGGUACCUAAUCAGAAAGCCACGGCUAACUACGUG